UCUUACGAGUCAGUUCCAUUGUACCUCAAGUCCAACAACCACCAACUACAUCUUGCCUUGUGAGUUUCAGUUCCAGCUUAGCAGGUUCGCCAGUUGACCGGCGACUCAAAAUUGGACUCGAAGCUUGGCUGCUCUAUCCAAACAACGGUGAUGUCCCGACGGAGGGUUGAGCGGUUCUGCAUAAUCCACCAUUUGAAAGGUGUGUCACCCUCUAGACGAGCCUGAACCCUGUUUCAAGACUUGAAACAGGGCGUUGGGCGCCAACCACCUCCUCUGUUUUUGUCUGUCGCCUCACCAACUUUUCCCCUUCUCUCUGCGCUGGUCUUCUACAGAAUAUAGGCGACCGCCUACUCCUCUGUCCACACCGCCAUCUUUUUCCUCAACUUCUGCUAUGCCGUGCGCUCGCUGUCGUCUGUGGCUGCCGGCCAGCUCCACACCCGCUCCAUGCAUCUUCCUCCUACUUGUUAGUUAGUGUACGUGAUCGCUAGGCACAGCAUACAAACUCUGUAGCGUGCUAGCACAAGGUACCUACUUGGUAGGCUAGUCGUUUAGUUAAUCCUGCUGCUUAUUGUUGCACUAAGGAAGCUUUAGCUAUAGAGGAUGUUGUAACAUACUCUGAUGUAAUCCCUGGCUUUCUGA